AAGAGCCACGAAUUUCCCUGUCCCUUGGCAGCCGCCAGGAAGGGGAGAGGCUCCUCCAUUACAGCAUGAAGACCAAGGAAGGAGGGGCAAGGGGCCGCCGCCCAUCGCCACCGCUGAUGCCCGUCUCCGUUGCCGUGGCCGACAUGGCCUCCAUCUCUUCGGGGCUGCACCUCUCCAUCAACAAAUCUCUCUUUCUCACUAUGAUAAUGUGUGAGUAAUCCUCCUCGUGGUUGAGGGUAUGUACUAGUACCUAUGUGUUCAAUCUCUCUCUCUCUCGUGUUCUUGAGAUGGCACGAUCUUAAUGUAUCACGAGCUUUAUUAAUAUGGAUGAAUCAUAUGGAGUUUUCCCCUCUAUAUGUUCUUGGGAUGAAUUGAGUUUUCCCUUUAAAGUUUUCUUAUCGGAUUGAGUCAUUAAGGAUUUGAGAACACUUGAUGUAUGUCUUAUGAUGGGAGAUCUGUGGUGACGAUGGGAUGUUCUAUUGAUGUAACACCCAAAAAUUUUAAAUUUGAUUUCUUGAUUUUUG
rnacentral:lncRNA from 1 species